rnacentral:rRNA from 1 species
GAGUGAGCGGCAAGCUCAAUUUGAAAUCUGGUACCUUCAGUGUUCGAGUAGUGAUUAGAGGAUGGUUGCUUUGGGGUGGCCGAGUCUAAGUUCCUUGGAAAGGACGUCAUAAAAGGGGAAAAUCCCGUCUGAUGAGAUGCCCAUUCCUAUUUUGGUGCUAUCUAAAAAUCGAGUUGUUUGGGAAUAAUA